GGGGAUCUGGCUCAGUAGUAGAGUACUUGCCUAGCAUGCAUGAGGCUCUGGGUUCAAUCCCAGCACCA
rnacentral:tRNA from 1 species